rnacentral:rRNA from 1 species
GACGAACGCUGGCGGCGUGCCUAACACAUGCAAGUCGAGCGAAUGAAGUUCCUUCGGGAAUGGAUUUAGCGGCGGACGGGUGAGUAACACGUGGGCAACCUGCCUCAUAGAGGGGAAUAGCCUUCCGAAAGGGAGAUUAAUACCGCAUAAGAUUGUAGUACCGCAUGAUACAGCAAUUAAAGGAGUAAUCCGCUAUGAGAUGGGCCCGCGGCGCAUUAGCUAGUUGGUGAGGUAACGGCUCACCAAGGCGACGAUGCGUAGCCGACCUGAGAGGGUGAUCGGCCACAUUGGGACUGAGACACGGCCCAGACUCCUACGGGAGGCAGCAGUGGGGAAUAUUGCACAAUGGGGGAAACCCUGAUGCAGCAACGCUGCGUGAGUGAUGACGGCCUUCGGGUUGUAAAGCUCUGUCUUCAGGGACGAUAAUGACGGUACCUGAGGAGGAAGCCACGGCUAACUACGUGCCAGCAGCCGCCGUAAGAC